CGGGGCGUAGCGCAGCCUGGUAGCGCAUCUGCUUUGGGAGCAGAGGGUCGUGGGUUCAAAUCCCUCCGCCCCGACCA
rnacentral:tRNA from 1 species